GCCAGGUGUGGUGGCUCACGCCUGUAAUCCCAGCUAUUGGGAGGCCGAGGCGGGUGGAUCACCUGAGGUCAGGAGUUCAAGACCAGCCUGACCGACAUGGAGAAACCCCGUCUCUA
rnacentral:SRP_RNA from 1 species